UAUAUGGCAGACAAAAACAGAGCCGACACAACACGAACAGAACUUUGGAUAAACAAGGCAUGAAAAGAAAUUUAAACAGAGAGAGCUUGCUAGUACUGGAUGAUUUUAGCUUUUGACGUUGUACAUAUUCAGAUUACCCCAUAUCACAUGAAACUUCCAGUGAAUAAACUUAUAGACAGACUAGUGGAGGACAUUAAUAGUAAUUGAAUCAAAUGAAGUAAAUGAGACUUAAAAUCAUAGAAACUAAGAAAAGAAAUAUAAAGAUUUAUUGGCCAAUGGAUGAAGUUGCUUAUUUAAAAGGAUCAACGAUUAUAUUUGAAACAGUAUGUUGAGAGAAGUUCAGAACAAGCUAUUUUGUUUGAGGAGGAGUUGUCAGCACGUCAUCAUUGAAUAAAGUCAAUUGUAUUAGAAGUGAAGCCUAAACAGAAAUGAGACAAUUAUCAAAUAAUUCAAAGACAUGGAUGUUAUCUGGACUAACAUUUGUAUGACCCAAAUGUGGUAUUUUUCAUAUGAAGACUUACAAGGCAAAUAAUUGGCUGUGGCAAACAUGUGUAUGCAUUUAACAUGUUUAAAGACUUGAAGAACUUGUACUGCCUUCUUCAGAUUUCAGUAGAAUUUGUUUAAGACAGUAAAUUCUGAGUAUGAAUUGAAGAAUUUUUGCUCAUUUAAAUGAAUUAUGAAAAUGUUUUACAUCUUAAAUAUACAAAAACAACAUACCGGUAAAUUAUU